CCUACGGGUAGCAGCAGUGAGGAAUAUUGGUCAAUGGCCGGAAGGCUGAACCAGCCAAGCCGCGUGAGGGAGGAAGGCGCAGAGCGUCGCAGACCUCUUUUGCCGGGGGACCAAAGGCCGGACUCGUCCGGUCCUGAGGGGACCCGGAGAAAAAGCAUCGGCAAACUCCGUGCCACCAGCCGCGGUAAUACGGAGGAGGCGAGCGUUAUCCGGAUUCAUUGGGUUUAAAGGGUGCGCAGGCGGGCCUUUAAGCCGGCGGUGAACUCGCGGGGCUCCACCACGCCGAGCCGUCGGAACUGGGGGCCUUGAGUGCGGCGGAGGCAUGCGGAAUGCGCGGUGGAGCGGGGAAAUGCAUAGAUAUCGCGCAGAACCCCGAUUGCGAAGGCAGCGUGCCGUGCCGCCACUGACGCUGAGGCACGAAAGCGCGGGGAUCGAACAGGAUUAGAGACCCCGGUAGUC
rnacentral:rRNA from 1 species